rnacentral:misc_RNA from 1 species
CUGAGGUUACCAUGAUCUGG